AGCCUACGGGUGCACAGAAGUGCUGUGUACGCGAUUUCUGGGAAGACCCCACACACGAUCUACAGAACGAGCCUGCAGCUUUCGGGCUUACCCUUAUAGUAACCUGUGUUUCCGGAUCACUCAUCCCAAUGGUAUGUGUUUUAAAGGAGCCGAGUGCCGAAGGCGGGGCGGAUUGUGGUGGUGGUAUUGCUUCAUGAGUGCUGUGUUGUGUGCCGUGGUGUGUGUGAGUGUCUACACAGGUGCAACCAAAAGUUGUGUGGUGCUGUGGAGGCCGAUUAGUGCCCUUGAUCCCCGUUGUUACGCCUUGGCUCCUGCAUCCACAUCUAUAAAGGUGUCUGAUUAUUGAAGUUAUCUGUGUUAUGGUUGAGUAAUUCCUGUUUUUGGUUUUCCAUUAGGUGCAUCAGAUACUUUUAUCAUUAAUAAAAAUCCAUACUAAUUUUA